CUCUCAUCUUGCUCCAUCUUCAUCUGUUACGGAAUCAUCUCGGUGAACUAGAUCUGCAAUCAGUGUGCUCCAAUGGCAAGUGGAAGAGCAUGGCUGACUGACCCCGUUAGCACAGUGGAGCUAAUUAACACCUGAUGAUUUGAAUGGUAAAACCUUAUGUAUUCCAUGUCCAUUCUCUGCUCUUUGUGCGUUUACAUCUUUGAAG
rnacentral:lncRNA from 1 species